rnacentral:rRNA from 1 species
AUGGCACCCAAGGUGGAGAAGAAGCCGGUGCCCGAGAAGACCCCGAAGGGGAAGAAGCCCAGGGCGGAGAAGAAGUCGGUGCCCGAGAAGACCCCGGAGGGGAAGAAGCCCACGGCGGAUAAGAGGCCAUCGGCGGGUAAGACGGCGUCCAAGGAGGACAGCGGCAAAAAGGGCAAGAAGAAGUCCGAGAAGAUUUUGGCUUAUGAAAAUGUUGAAGUAGCUGAGAAAGUGGUUUGUACCAGAACACUCUACUAUCUAAGGCCAUUUGAGCAGGCCAAAUAUGGUCAGGUGGGCUCAAGUAGGAGAAAUUCAGAUCAAGAAUUUUUUCAACCAAAACGGGAAGUGGGGACGGUGGAAAUGAUUAAGCAAGCAUCUGAAGCUCGAGAGGCUGAGAAGACUGAGUUGGAAAAAACAAUUCAGUGUCUGAAGAAACAGAUUUGGGGCUAA